rnacentral:pre_miRNA from 1 species
AGGAGGAACAACCACAGUGGCGGCGGCCAGCUCUGGAGCCCUGGAUUCAGCUCCGGCAGUAUCUACAGAGCUCUCCGUCUGCAGGGCCUGGAGACUCCAGGGUGGG